GCAUCCCUACAACAUAGUGUUAAUGCAACGGAUCCCAUUAGAACUACACAGUUAAGCAUGCUCAUGAUAGAGUAGUACUGGGAUGGGUGACCACCUAAGAAGUCCUAGUAUUUUACAUGCU
rnacentral:rRNA from 1 species